GGCUGGGGUGUGGCUCAGGGGUAGAGCCCCUGCCUAGAAUCCCCCAGUGAGGGGCUGGGGUGUGGCUCAGGGGUAGAGCCCCUGCCUAGAAUCCCCCAGUGAGGGGCUGGGGUGUGGCUCAGAGGUAGAAUACCCCGGAAACCUGUUGAGGCCCUAGAUUGUAAGGGUACAAUUGAAAACAUUUGGCUGUUUGAUGUUUUUCCUUCACUAAGUCUUCAAAUUCUUCAUCUCUACCACUAAACCCCAAACUUGUCACUGCCUCAAGUGAGGCGUGUCCCAUAUAAGCUCUUAUAUUUGACCAGUCAGUGGAACUGUUUGAGGAGGUUAUGAGACGUUUCGUAGGUGGAGUCUUGCUGGAAGAAGUGCGUCACUGGAGGCGGGCCCUGGGGAUUUAUAUUCUCACCUCACUUCCUACGUCCUUCCUCUGUGUUUUGUGUGUGGGUGAACAUUUGAUCAACGAGCUUCCUGUUUUCAUGCCUUCUUGCUUUUAUUGACUCACCCUCUAGAACCCCAUCAGCCAAAUUAAACUCUUCCAUCAA